UACUGUGGGUGGCGAGUGGCGGACGGGUGAGUAAUGCAUCGGGACCUGCCCAGAGGGAGGGGGAUAACGUAGGGAAACUUACGCUAAUACCGCAUAGUCCUACGGGAGAAAGCGGGGGAUCGAAAGACCUCGCGCGGUUGGAUGGACCGAUGUUCGAUUAGCUAGUUGGUGAGGUAAUGGCUCACCAAGGCGACGAUCGAUAGCUGGUCUGAGAGGAUGAUCAGCCACACUGGGACUGAGACACGGCCCAGACUCCUACGGGAGGCAGCAGUGGGGAAUAUUGGACAAUGGGCGAAAGCCUGAUCCAGCAAUGCCGCGUGUGUGAAGAAGGCCUUCGGGUUGUAAAGCACUUUUAUCAGGAGCGAAAUACUGCCGGCUAAUACCCGGCGGGGCUGACGGUACCUGAGGAAUAAGCACCGGCUAACUUCGUGCCAGCAGCCGCGGUAAUACGAAGGGUGCAAGCGUUAAUCGGAAUUACUGGGCGUAAAGCGUGCGUAGGCGGUUCUUUAAGUCUGCUGUGAAAUCCCCGGGCUCAACCUGGGAAUGGCAGUGGAUACUGGAGAGCUAGAGUGUGAUAGAGGAUGGUGGAAUUCCCGGUGUAGCGGUGAAAUGCGUAGAGAUCGGGAGGAACAUCAGUGGCGAAGGCGGCCAUCUGGAUCAACACUGACGCUGAGGCACGAAAGCGUGGGGAGCAAACAGGAUUAGAUACCCUGGUAGUCCACGCCCUAAACGAUGCGAACUGGAUGUUGGUCUCAACUCGGAGAUCAGUGUCGAAGCUAACGCGUUAAGUUCGCCGCCUGGGGAGUACGGUCGCAAGACUGAAACUCAAAGGAAUUGACGGGGGCCCGCACAAGCGGUGGGAGUAUGUGGUUUAAUUCGAUGCAACGCGAAGAACCUUACCUGGUCCUUGACAUGUCUGGAAUCCUGCAGAGAUGCGGAGUGCCUUCGGGAAUCAGAACACAGUGCUGCAUGGGCUGUCGUCAGCUCGUGUCGUGAGAAUGAUGGGUAAGUCCCGCCAACG
rnacentral:rRNA from 1 species